rnacentral:misc_RNA from 1 species
AAGCUUCUCAUCUUCUCUGCUAAGACGGUGAUCAACUGUUAAUGUAUCAGCUACUCCUUUUCUGCUCAAAACUACUCUACAGUCACCCACAUUCGCUACGUGUAAUUCUCCAUCUUUCAACAGCGCACUAGCCACACAAGCUCCACUACUUACACCCUGCUGGCUAAGAAACUCCCUAUCUGUAACCAGGUAGCCUUGGCGAAUGGCUUGUUCUAGUGGUUGAUGAUGAUCAUCAUCUUCUUCCUUUCCUACAUCUUCCAGGGCUUUUACAAUGUUCUUUCCUAAAUUUUCAGCUACAUAGUCAGCUGCUGCACGGCCUCCAUG